rnacentral:rRNA from 1 species
CGAAGAACCUUACCAGGUCUUGACAUCCUCUGCCACUCCUAGAGAUAGGACGUUCCCCUUCGGGGGACAGAGUGACAGGUGGUGCAUGGUUGUCGUCAGCUCGUGUCGUGAGAUGUUGGGUUAAGUCCCGCAACGAGCGCAACCCUUGAUCUUAGUUGCCAGCAUUCAGUUGGGCACUCUAAGGUGACUGCCGGUGACAAACCGGAGGAAGGUGGGGAUGACGUCAAAUCAUCAUGCCCCUUAUGACCUGGGCUACACACGUGCUACAAUGGAUGGUACAACGAGUUGCGAGACCGCGAGGUUUAGCUAAUCUCUUAAAACCAUUCUCAGUUCGGAUUGUAGGCUGCAACUCGACUCCAUGAAGUCGGAAUCGCUAGUAAUCGUGGAUCAGGAUGCCACGGUGAAUACGUUCCCGGGCCUUGUACACACCGA